UACGGGGGGAGCAAGCGUUGUUCGGAUUUACUGGGCGUAAAGGGCGCGUAGGCGGCCUCUGCAAGUCGACUGUGAAAUCUCCGGGCUUAACCCGGAAAGGUCAGCCGAUACUGCAGGGCUAGAGUGCAGAAGGGGCAACUGGAAUUCUCGGUGUAGCGGUCAAAUGCGUAGAUAUCGAGAGGAACACCUGCGGCGAAGGCGGGUUGCUGGGCUGACACUGACGCUGAGGCGCGAAAGCUAGGGGAGCGAACGGG
rnacentral:rRNA from 1 species